rnacentral:rRNA from 1 species
AGGAUAAACGCUGGCGGCGUGCUUCAGGCAUGCAAGUCGAACGGGUGUCUACCUUCGGGUAGCCACUAGUGGCGGACGGGUGAGUAACGCGUUAGCAACCUGCCCAAAGGUGGGGAAUAACUAACCGAAAGGUUAGCUAAUACCGCAUGUGAUAGCUGGUUCUUGGACUGGUUAUGAAAGGCUUCGGUCGCCUUUGGAGGGGCUUGCGUCAGAUUAGCUUGUUGGUGGGGUAAUGGCCUACCAAGGCGACGAUCUGUAGC